GCGUCCUUAGUACAGUGGUUAGUACACCUGACAUGGAUAUCAGUGACAUGGGUUCGACUCCCACAGGACACA
rnacentral:tRNA from 1 species